AUACUUACCUGGCAGGGGAGAUACCAUGAUCUCGAAGGUGGUUUUCCCAGGGCAAGGCUUAUCCAGUGCACUCCAGACGUGCUGACCCCUGCGAUUUCCCCAAAUGUGGGAAACUUGACUGCAUAAUUUGUAGUAGUGGGGGACUACAUUCGCACUUUCCCCUG
rnacentral:snRNA from 1 species